rnacentral:rRNA from 1 species
AGACAGGUGGUGCAUGGUUGUCGUCAGCUCGUGUCGUGAGAUGUUGGGUUAAGUCCCGCAACGAGCGCAACCUUGUGUUAGUUGCAAACAGGUCAAGCUGUGCACUCUAGACAGACUGCCGUGGACAACACGGAGGAAGGUGGGGAUGACGUCAAAUCAUCAUGCCCCUUAUGAUCUGGGCUACACACGUGCUACAAUGGCCGGUACAACGGGCAGCGAAGGAGCGAUCCGGAGCGAAUCCUAAAAAGCCGGUCCCAGUUCGGAUUGCAGGCUGAAACUCGCCUACAUGAAGUUGGAGUUGCUAGUAAUCGCGAAUCAGAAUGUCGCGGUGAAUGCGUUCCCGGGUCUU